GUUGGUUUAAGGGUUCUUCUGGAGAUGCUCUGAGCCCGUGAUCAGAUGUAACCACCACAGACGAAAUAACUGGAACUUUGCCACACGAAACGUUCUCGAUUUGCGCAGCACCAAGCCACACCAACUGAUCUCUUUCCCCGUCGACGUGCAGGCGGAGGGGGCACAUUCCACCGAGGUUGGGGCUGUCAAAAUCAGGUGCCCUUCCAGAUCCCAGAGGAGAGAGAGGCCCCGGCGAGUCCGCCGCCCGUCCAGAUCCUGCCGAUCCAGUCACGGGUUCAUCGCCUUGCCGGCUUUGUCUACUGGUAAGCACAACACAUACGACUCGCAUGCCCCAGCGCCCACCCGCCUAGCUCCCUUAUCAUCCUCCUCGCGGACACCGACGCGCGCCUGACUGUUUUGACGUUUGCUUGCUGGCAAGGAGCCGUCUUCUUCCUCGCCGGGAAAUCUCCUUCGCUGCCUCGCUUGCGUCCCUGGGCUUCUUGUUCCACACCAUCGCCUGGCUUCGUCCCCUGCAAAUUUUGAAACUGUCAGAAGCCUAGGUAAUGCAUGUGGUUUGGGGAUCUAUGAGCUGUCAGUGAGCUGGGAUUAGGGCUUGUUAAUCGGCCUUGUAAGGGAGAAUCACUCCUAUAAAUACCUGUACUUGGUGAUUGAGAAGGAAUAACAGAAAUAAUACAACCAAAUACCAAAAUCGAAGUCCACUUGCCUAACUG
rnacentral:lncRNA from 1 species